UGUUGAUCUGAUUUUUGCUUAGAUAGCAGGUACUUUCCACCCUGCUUCUGUGUGACCAGCUCUUUUUACCUUUUUCAGAAAACAGCUCACAUAGAUCAUGCAUGCAUUCUCUCUAUAACCAAUGAGAAGCUUUGAAUUCAGUUUUUUUUUUGGAUAUAUAGGAAGAAAGCCCUGCUGUGCAGCAGGCGUGGAAAUCCUCUCAGCUCCACGGUAUAAAAGGAGUAACAGUGAGAGGGAGAGAGAACACGGAACAAGAGCUUGGAGAGACAGCACGCUUCAUUUUUUUAGUCUAUAUGGGAUUUUGUGAAUAAAACCAAGUAGAUCAUUUGAUCUACUGAAAGACAAAUACCUUGUCUAUUUUGAUCUCUUUCAUCUUUCAUCCAAGGCUUCUUCAACAAAACCUCGCUUUGCAUUGUUAUCGGAGCGUUGUGCCACCCCUCCCCGACUGCUGCGGCCAUCAAUCUCCCAAACCUUCUGAAGAUUGCGAACACCAUGUCCCAUCCUCUGUAUAACCCGUAUGCCUCUGGGAACCAAAGUUCCACCCAGGGGCAGUAUGGACUCCCCAGGAUACAGGCAGAUAGGGACCCUCGGAUGGCAUCUCGCCUUCGACCUGGGUCCAGCUUCGGCUCUUCUGGAGGUUCUUCUGCGACUCCUGCCAACUCUGGGGGAAUGUUCUCUGCCUCUCUAGGACAUAGACAAUUGGACGUUGAAAAUGGCAGUAGCUCCAUGGAUUGGUCAUCUAAAUUUGAUUCCUCAUCUGCUUUGUCUAACUCUGCAAGCGGUGGUAACAGUAGGUUUAAUGCCUACACCUACACCUCUGAAUCAGCUACUAACAUCCUUCUGCACUUUGGACUUGAAAAAGAGGACUUGGAACAUCUCAUCUCCAUCCCUGAAGACCAGAUCACUCCUGAUAACCUGCCACUCAUUUUGCAUCAAAUCCGCAUUCAGAAGGCAAAGAAAACUACAACAGCAGUUCAGCCCAAACCCUAUCCCGAACCCCAACCUACCAGAAGCAUGAGUGGAAUGGACAGUCACAGUUUGAGUAGUUCUGGAGGGGCAGGGAUGCGCCAGAAAGAAAUGUCAUCAGCUUAUCUCCAGCCGAGUAAAGUGAUUGGAGGGGUUGGGGAAGAGAAUGGAAAGACCAGUGGCAGUAGAAAUAACAGUGGUGGGAGUGGAAGUAUGUUGCUGAUGGACACUUAUGAUAGUAGCAGCCACAAUCGAGAACCACUACAAAAAAAUAUGAUGGAGGUGCAAAGCAGUGCCUUGGGUCCUUCACGUGACCAGGCAAGUCCGGUUACCAGUCUCAGCUCUUCGUACAGUUCAGUACUGAGCUCUGUGGCUCCCCCAAGCAAUGAUCCGACCAAACGAUUGCAAACCCAACCAAACCAGACUUCCCAAACAAUCCUCAGCUCUCUCUCUCUGCCAAAGAAAGACACAGACAUCAGAGUUCUCAAGUCUGAAGCCUCCAAAUCUGUUCCUUUGAAAGAACCAGAGGCAGAUCGCCAGUCACCGGCCAUUGGCAGUAAUGACGCCAGUGGCACUAAGAAUCAGAGUAUAAUUCAAGGACAAGGGUCAAUGGUUGCUGAGCAGAUGAAAAAGCAGCAGCCAAUGCAGCAGACCCAGCAGCAACAGAAGCAGCAGACACAUGAGCAGACGCAGAAGCAGCCAAUGCAGCAGACACAUGAGCAGAUGCAGAAGCAGCCAAUGCAGCAGACACAUGAGCAGCCGGUAUCGCAGACGGGGCAAGUCUCCAACGGUCUGCAAAUGGCGACCACGAUGCAUGACUAUGCGGCGGACUCAAACAAAGAAUGUACUCAUAUGAAGGAUUGGAUCUCCCACCAGAACACCAGCCUUCACCUUGAGAACUGCAAACUCUUCCGAAAACAGUCUCGUUCUCACUCCCCACGAUAUGACCGCCCAUCCUUCUCCUGCUAUCGGUCAAGUUCAAGGAGCCCUGAGAGGAGGAGCGGUAAGAGGCGACCAUCGCCGAGGAGGAGCCGUGAGAGACGAUCAUCGCCGAGGAGGAGCCGUGAGAGACGAUCAUCGCCGAAGAGGAGCCGUGAGAGGCGAUCGUCCACAGAGGUUUCAUCCCCUCAACGAAAGAAGUCAAGGCGUCGUGAAAUGUUGAAUGGGGCUGUCCAGUCUCUGUCACAACAGUCUGACCUGGAUGCCGUGGUUAAAACUCUGGCUCCUGCCUUACUGGCCGAGCUACUCAAGAUGAAGGUCACCUCAUCAUCAUCAUCAUCCUCCUCUUCCAAAGAAGGAAAACAGUCUGCCCUACAGGCCUUGGUUAAAGCUCUAGUUCCUGCCUUACAGGAUGAGCUAGUCAGGAUGAAUGCCGUCUCAUCAUCAUCAUCAUCCUCCUCUUCCUCAUCUCCUCCCUCUGUAGGAAGAAAGAGACUGUCUUCUGCUGCCUCUUCCUCCUCCUCCUCCUCUGCAGAUAAGGAGUUGACUUCAAAGCCCUCUAAAGCAAAGCCCAGCCUGCAGAAGAGCGAAGCAAAUUCUUCCACAAAGAUGAAGACCAGUACCCGCGGGGGAGACAGGCCUGACCAUGGCAGUCCCCACACAUCUUCUACCUCCUGGAUGGAAGAGGAUUUUCCACAACUAUGUUCCACCACCCCUACCAGCACUGAUGGGAAACAAAGGGGAAGAACGCAACCUGCAAAUACAGGGGACGCCGUCCCUGUCCCUGAAAUAUCUAGACUUGGGAGACAAGAGAACCUGGCCACUCCUGGACCAGAAGACGGCUGUUCUGAGCCGAAGGAGUUGCUGCCCAACUUCUCCGAGAGCGCCCCCCCUCCUGCUCAGCAAGGCCCCGUCGAGGGCUUUAAACAGCGCCUGCAGCUGUACAGCUUCAAUCAUGAAAAAUUCAGCUAUACUCAGCUCUCGAAUCCCAGAGCCUGGCAGCAUAUAGCCUACGCCAGACCAGGAUGGAUACCAGACCACCUGCCAUAUCUCCAGCUUGACAUACAGUAUUGGAAACUCAAGGCUAAGAGCACUUUUGUCUCCACUCGCCCCCCUCCACAUGGACAACGUUCAAAGAGGGUGGCCUGUGUAGUAACCUGUUACAACCACUUCAAAGGCCCUUGGUGCGAGGUACAGUCCAUGAAUGGCACCAUUAUCUGUAUCCUCGCCGCCACUCCACAAUGCACUCCUCCACCAACCGCCAGGAUCCAACCUCUGAUGUGGCACUGACCACCGGAGCAGAAUGAAAGAGAGGGUGUUCGCAGAGGGCAGAGGCCAAGAGUGAAUUCAGCGUUCGGUGCUCUCUACCCAGCAAGCAAACAGGGAACUAAGCCUAAGAGACUGACAAACUGAAAAAACAGGCUCUUCUUUUAGCUUUGCUCAUAAAACAGGAACUUCACCCUGCUUACGUUGUGAGUAAACGGAGGAGGGAGCUUGUUGGACCUGAAGCAAAGCGAUCUCGUUCUCAGUCUCCUUGUGUCACUGCCGACUUCAAACUGCCAGCUUUUAAACCCAACAACCCCCUUGGUCAGGAGUUCGUGGUCCCCAAAUCAGGGUAUUUCUGUAACCUCUGCUCUGUUUUCUACCUGAACGAGAGCACCGCCAAGGACCUCCACUGCAGCAGCCAGAGACACUACGACAACCUGCAGAAACAUCACCAGAAGCUUCGACAGAAACCAUCAAGAAGUUCAACACAAAGUUCUCAAGGCUCCGUUUCUGAUUGAUCCUGAUUUCAACUACUGAUGUUUUUAUUUAUUUUUUGUUAAAAAUGUGAAAACGAUGAAGCCGGACAAGUGAAACAUCUGCAGCUUUACAAACCACUGCAUAGAUAAUCCACGUUAGUCAUAGUUGCGCCUUGUUUCAUGUAAAUGAUAUCAAUUCUACAUCUACCAUAAUACCUAAUAAAUAUUUUAGCAUGAAUUGCCCCAUUGGGAUUCAAACUCCACCAACUCUACAGUUUUGGUGCCUUGCUCUGCCCACAGCUGGAGUUUCCACUGAAGAGACGAAAGCAUCAGAUCUGUGUGGAGCAAUGAGGAGACAAACAGAAAUGCCACAUUUCCACUGAGUUUCUACAUCAUUUUACUUCAUCUUGUUUUGCCAUUUUCUUCUGCGAUGGUUUAAUGGCACCAAACUGGAGAAUUAGCGCUGCUUUAUCUCAAUGCGCUCAAAUCCUAAUAUUCGAAUAACAGUAUUGGACGGAAACACGUAAUAAUUCACAUUUUCUUUUUUCUUUUUUUUUUUGGAAAUUGGUUUAAAAUUUGCACUACAUUUGGAUGUAAACUUAGAAACUUGAGCUCAGAUUUAGAAAUCUGCUCGAUUGCUUUACGGCAUAAAACAGGAAGAGGGCGCCGUUCCUCCAGAUCAAACUGAGUUCGAGCUUUCAGAGUUGCUGUUAAUGGAAGAUAGUAAAAUACAUCACUUUCAUCAUUGUUGACACUUUUCUGAGAAAGAUGGCAGAACAGGAAGCAAUGUGGCUGAUGGAAAUGAUGUGGUCAUAAUAACAGUACUUUCUUAACAGUUUCUGUUCAUUAAAUAAAUCCUCUUCACCCUGGUCUCAUUUAGGUAAUAAAGGUAUUCUCUUAUUGCAUAAUUAAAUCUAAUAACGUUUUGAGCACCUGUGAAUUUUGUAGCACCUUUUUCACGGAUGAACUGUUACUCUGGGAGCUCAUUAACUUGUUUUUUAAAUUGUAUAAAUGAAGCUGAGAAUUUCAUCUUGCACAUGAUGUAAAAAGUGAUGUUUUCUUAACUUAACUGUUAGACAAACACUGGCAGACAUUUUGUUACUCGACAAUGUGAAGACGUUUUCUUAUUGUUUCUAGUUUUGGAGGGAAUUUUUCACGUGAACAAUAAUUUACUUAACUGUCAAAGUCAUUAGGAAUCAUAGAGAUUAUGUUAUGGGAUGUCUUUUGUUUUUCUUUCCUUUUGAAACUGUAUUAAUAUUUGCCUCUGAGAUGUAGUGAAGUAGAAGUAUAAAGUUGCAUAAAAAGUACCUCGAAUUUGUACGUAUGUCAAUAUUUCCCCAAGAAGCUCAUUAAGAGGCUAAAUGUAAUGUAAAACUGUGAAAUGUUUCUCCUUAAAGUGGCGUGUUUUCAAAGGAACGAUAAACUACUCCUAUGAUGUAUCCCUAUUCUCAUUUCUCAGGCUUUUUAUCUCCAAACUUGCUCACUCAAAUGUCUCACAUUCAAGCCUUCAAUCACAUCUUUUAAAUUAUUUAAAAUUUUGAAACUUUUUAAUGCAAACAUGAAAAUAACUGGGCCAAAUAACUUUAUUUUAAGAUGCUAACAUUGCCAUCAGCAGACACACUUUACCCAAUUUCAUUCCCUCAAAUACAAUUAUUGUAUUUAAUUUUUUAUUGCAACUUCCUUCUCCCCUCCCUUUGUAUCUCAAUAUACUUUAUAGUGACUAUUCACGUUGGUGUAUGUAGCAUUUAGUACCUUUAAUUUUAGUUUUUUCAUGCUUCAUUUGUAUAGAUGUUCAUAAUAUAGUAGGCCUAUUUUAGUUUUUUAAAAGUGUUUUAUCAGUGCAUCUGUUCUUGAGUUUAUGGGAGGGAGGUGGGGUAUUAACGUAUUCUUGCCUAGUUCCUUCAUAUCAGUAGUGAAUGUUCAGAGAUCUUGACAGAAAGGUGACAGAAACUGGCAAAUCACCACCCAUAGGUGGUUUUAAAUACUAUUAAUGGGCUAAAUUAAAUGUCUUAACUGAAUUUCUGUGAAAAUAGCGCCACUAUGUGGCAGAAUAUAACCUACUGUAUUUAACCUAAGGGUUAAAUACAUGACUAAUACAAACCUACUUCACAUAAAUUGAUGCGACAUCACAUAAUAUUAACAGGAAUAACAGUGCCUUUUAUUUUAGUUUUUUUCAUGCUUCUUUGCUUUUUCACAGCAACCCUUAGUCAUUACUGUUCAUUAGUGCAUGUUUGUAUUAGUGCAUGUUUGGAAAUAAAAUUUUCUUUCA